UAGAGUAGAAAAUAUGCGUUAAGUGCCGAUGAAUGGGGUGUUGUCAUCGGACGAAGGGUAAUCCGCGGUAUAUUUUCGCAUCCGCUGC
rnacentral:ncRNA from 1 species